AGCAGCCGCGGUAAUUCCAGCUCCAAUAGCGUAUAUUAAAGUUGUUGCAGUUAAAAAGCUCGUAGUUGAAUUUCGGGGUCAGUAGGUCGGUCGUGCCACUGGUAUGCACUGGUCUCACUGAUUCCUCCUUCUUGAAGAACCGUAAUGUCAUUAACUUGGUGUUGCGGGGAAACAGGACUGUUACCUUGAAAAAUUAGAGUGUUUAAAGCAGGCCAGCGCCUGAAUACAUUAGCAUGGAAUAAUGAAAUAGGACGUUCGAUCCUAUUUUGUUGGUUUCUAGGAUUGACGUAAUGAUUAAUAGGGAUAGUUGGGGGCAUUAGUAUUCAAUUGUCAGAGGUGAAAUUCUUGGAUUUAUUGAAGACUAACUACUGCGAAAGCAUUUGCCAAGGAUGUUUUCAUUAAUCAAGAACGAAAGUUAGGGGAUCGAAGACGAUCAGAUACCGUCGUAGUCUUAACCAUAAACUAUGCCGACUAGGGAUCGGAUGAUGUUAAUUUUAUAAUGA
rnacentral:rRNA from 1 species